rnacentral:rRNA from 1 species
AUUGAACGCUGGCGGCAGGCUUAACACAUGCAAGUCGAGCGGUAACAGGGGUAGCUUGCUACCCGCUGACGAGCGGCGGACGGGUGAGUAAUGCUUAGGAAUCUGCCCAGUAGUGGGGGAUAGCCCGGGGAAACCCGGAUUAAUACCGCAUACGUCCUACGGGAGAAAGCAGGGGAUCUUCGGACCUUGCGCUAUUGGAUGAGCCUAAGUCGGAUUAGCUAGUUGGUGGGGUAAAGGCCUACCAAGGCGACGAUCCGUAGCUGGUCUGAGAGGAUGAUCAGCCACAUCGGGACUGAGACACGGCCCGAACUCCUACGGGAGGCAGCAGUGGGGAAUAUUGGACAAUGGGGGCAACCCUGAUCCAGCCAUGCCGCGUGUGUGAAGAAGGCUUUCGGGUUGUAAAGCACUUUCAGUAGGGAGGAAAACCUUAUGGCUAAUACCCAUGAGGCUUGACGUUACCUACAGAAGAAGCACCGGCUAACUCCGUGCCAGCCGCCGCGGUAAU